UACGGAGGGUGCAAGCGUUAUCCGGAUUCACUGGGUUUAAAGGGUGCGUAGGUGGGCAGGUAAGUCAGUGGUGAAAUCUCCGGGCUUAACCCGGAAACUGCCAUUGAUACUAUCUGUCUUGAAUACCGUGGAGGUGAGCGGAAUAUGUCAUGUAGCGGUGAAAUGCUUAGAUAUGUCAUAGAACACCGAUUGCGAAGGCAGCUUACUGGGCUUUGAUUGACGCUGAGGCACGAAAGCGUGGGGAGCAAACAGG
rnacentral:rRNA from 1 species